GUUUGAUCCUGGCUCAGAGCGAACGCUGGCGGCAGGCCUAACACAUGCAAGUCGAGCGGCCGUAGCAAUACGGCAGCGGCAGACGGGAGAGUAACACGUGGGAACGCGCCCUUCGGUUCGGAAUAACUCAGGGAAACUUGGGCUAAUACCGGAUACACCCUUACGGGGAAAGAUUUAUUGCCGAAGGAACGGCCCGCGUCCGAUUAGCUAGUUGGUGAGGUAAUGGCUCACCAAGGCGACGAUCGGUAGCUGGUCUGAGAGGAUGACCAGCCUCACUGGGACUGAGACACGGCCCAGACUCCUACGGGAGGCAGCAGUGGGGAAUAUUGGACAAUGGGCGCAAGCCUGAUCCAGCCAUGCCGCGUGGGUGAUGAAGGCCCUAGGGUUGUAAAGCCCUUUCAGCGGGGAAGAUAAUGACGGUACCCGCAGAAGAAGCCCCGGCUAACUUCGUGCCAGCAGCCGCGGUUAG
rnacentral:rRNA from 1 species